UGUGGGAGCGAGCCUGCUCGCGAAAGCGUCGGGUCAGUAACGUCGAAGUUGGCUGGCACGCCGUUACCGCGAGCAGGCUCGCUCCCACA
rnacentral:misc_RNA from 1 species